CUGCGCGCGCAGAGGAGCGGCUCUAUUGCUCGUUCUGAGUUGAUGCCUUCCUUGACAUUUCUUGUGUUGUCGAAACAUCUUCUAUUCUCAAAGUCCUGCCAGACUUCUCUCUUGCUUUCCAUCUGUUUUUCUGUGCCCCCUUAAACUUCAUCCCCUGCCUCCUUUCUCUUUUCUGCCUUUUCUAUCGGUCACAGACACUGUUCUGUACCAGGCGACCUCAAGGACCAGGUGGUCACAGACACCGUUCUGUACCAUCUGUAUUAAAGGACCAGGUGGUCACAGACACUGUUCUGUACCAUCUGUAUUAAAGGACCCAGGUGGUCACAGACACCGUUCUGUACCAUCUGUAUUAAAGGACCCAGGUGGUCACAGACACCGUUCUGUACCAUCUGUAUACCCAGUGAAUAAGGACCCAGGUGGUCACAGACACCGUUCUGUGCCAUCUGAAAAACUUCUGAAUAAGAACACAGACGGUCACAGACACUGCUCUGUACCCUCUGAAUACCCUGUAAGUAAGGAAAAAGACAAUCUAAGACACUGUUUUGUACCCUUGGAAAAUUGAAAAGAGACACAUUUUUUAUUCAUACUUGUUAUUGUUCUCAUUUUAUCCUGUGCAGUGUUUUCUUUGAUUUGUUUCAGUUCAGGUGACCUUAAGAAUCAAACCAUCUGCAGUCAGAGACCUCCUUCAUUCUGACCUACAGUCUACAGUUGAAGACCGUCACACAUUCACAACAUUCACUGAAGCUGUAGUCAUAUAUUUAAUAGCAGUACAUAUAAUAUUCCCCCUUUUUUAUAGUCUAGAGUAUAACUUACUACAUACUGUUGUAUCUACUUUUCUUCAUUUAGUUAAUUGCCAUUAUAUUGUUUAUUCAUUUUUAAGCCAACUGAUAGUCAUAUAUACUG